rnacentral:rRNA from 1 species
CCUACGGGAGGCAGCAGUGGGGAAUCUUGCGCAAUGGGCGAAAGCCUGACGCAGCCAUGCCGCGUGAAUGAUGAAGGUCUUAGGAUUGUAAAAUUCUUUCACCGGGGACGAUAAUGACGGUACCCGGAGAAGAAGCCCCGGCUAACUUCGUGCCAGCAGCCGCGGUAAUACGAAGGGGGCUAGCGUUGCUCGGAAUUACUGGGCGUAAAGGGAGCGUAGGCGGACAUUUAAGUCAGGGGUGAAAUCCCGGGGCUCAACCUCGGAAUUGCCUUUGAUACUGGGUGUCUUGAGUGUGAGAGAGGUAUGUGGAACUCCGAGUGUAGAGGUGAAAUUCGUAGAUAUUCGGAAGAACACCAGUGGCGAAGGCGACAUACUGGCUCAUUACUGACGCUGAGGCUCGAAAGCGUGGGGAGCAAACAGGAUUAGAUACCCUGGUAGUCCACGCCGUAAACGAUGAUUGCUAGUUGUCGGGAUGCAUGCAUUUCGGUGACGCAGCUAACGCAUUAAGCAAUCCGCCUGGGGAGUACGGUCGCAAGAUUAAAACUCAAAGGAAUUGACGG